AUACGGAGGAUCCGAGCGUUAUCCGGAUUUAUUGGGUUUAAAGGGUGCGCAGGCGGCCAUUUAAGUCAGCGGUUAAAUCGUGGGGCUCAACCCCAUUCUGCCGUUGAUACUGGGUGGCUUGAUUGCGGUCGAGGUUGGCGGAAUUCGUUGUGUAGCGGUGAAAUGCAUAGAUAUGACGAAGAACACCGAUUGCGUAGGCAGCUGACCAGAUCGCAAAUGACGCUCAUGCACGAAAGUGCGGGGAUCGAACAGGAUUAGAUACCCUGGUAGUCCGCACAGUAAACGAUGAAUACUUGUUUUCGGCGAUAUAAUGUCGGAGGCAAAGCGAAAGCGAUAAGUAUUCCACCUGGGGAGUACGCCGUCAACGGUGAAACUCAAAUGAAUUGACGGGG
rnacentral:rRNA from 1 species